rnacentral:lncRNA from 1 species
CUAUAAUACAAGGAAAUGCCAUAGAUGUUUAAAGGAGAUAUGGUGUUUAGCAAACUGUAGGUGUUCAAUUAAUGUUGAAAUAAAUUGUGUUAAACACAAUUCUAUGAUAUCCUAGAGGAGUGAGUGAAUAGGAUAGGGAGAGAACCGGUAAACAUUUUAUGCAGCACCUGACCCUGAAGCUCUUCAGUUGCAAGAACUCCACAAGGGAAACAGUGUGACUGAAGCCAGGAAUGGAGGCUCCCAAGAAAAAGGAUCUGCUGCAGCUGUGGAUCAUGUCAAACACAAGCCCUGAGACACGCUGUGGAUGUAUGAAGGAUUCUGUUCGGUCAGGGAACUUCUUACAACCUAUGUACAGAUGUGUCUGAAUUUAAUCCUUCAAGUAUUCGCAACUUUGAGAAAAUAAAACUUAACCUGCUGUGCAGAGCCCCUCUGCUCUCCCAGAAAUCAGCUGGUGGACAAAAAAGGGACAAACAGCAGCAGAAGAGACAACCACCUAAAUUAAAUAAUUGCAUCCUACAGAAAUCUUUCUUGCUCAUCUCCUAAUAUCAUCGACUACCUCUUUUAGAUGAAGCAUUGAACAUCUCUGCAUAUGUUUUAUCUGGGAAUAGUUGGCAAUGUCUGGAGACACAUUUGUCACAGCUGGGAAGUUCUAAUGGCAUCUCAUGUGUAGAGGACAGAGAAGCUGCUCAACAUCCUACAACUCACAGGAUGGCCCUCUCCAACAAGGAAUCAUCCAACAGCAAGUGUGGAUAGUGCUGAGGUAGACAAACUGUGGCUUAGACUGACUCAGUCUAUUCCAUUAGAUCCAGGUGACAGGGAAGUUUUGACGAGAUAGCCCUGGAGGAUGAAGAGAUGGAAAGGCCAGCUGAUGACUGGGCACACCUGUGUGGGGAAUUGGGGCCUGUGAUCCAAGGAGAAGUGCUGGCUAUCGGAGUCUGAAACAAACUUUGUUUACUUGUUAAUUUGGUCAAAGUAAUGGGAACAGGAUAUUCAGGAAAUCACAUGGCAACAGGGCAGGGCUCAGGCAAGAGACUAUUUUCGUGUUUCUUCUGAUGGUGAGCCUCACCAUAGGGAUGAAUGAUUACUUGGAAAAGCUGAGACAGAACAGGGAUGCCUCUUAGGGGCCUGCCGGCCUCCUGGCCCAAAGAUGAAAAUAAAGGAAAAUCUUGAGUUCCUUCAAGACAAAUUCCGGGCACCUAGCCCUGAGAAGUAAAUGAGCAACUUUAUAAGCAAGAAGGUAAGUAGCUUCAAACAACAGUUAAGGUCACAAGAUGUCUGCUUCCCUGCAGAAACUAAAGACAACGUAUGUCCCUAAGUUGUUUUUCAGAAACCUGGACCCCCACUAAAUGGAUUCACUGGCACAUAGACCUCUGAUAAGGGGGAACUGAAGACCACUGUUCUUUCUUUUAAAUGUUUUCCUGAGAGGCCUGGAGGAAGUCACACCCACGGGCCGGAGCUAGCAGUCUUUUCUGCUGAUUCCAAAUUUUUAGACAAAGUUUUGCUUCCCUAACCAAUCACAAAUCAGGAAAUCUUUCAGUCCACCCGUGACCUGUGGGCCCCCACUUUGAGAUGUCCCACCUUUUAAGUCAAACCAAUGUAUAGCCUCCAUGUAUUGGUUUAUGAUGCUGCCUGUAACCUCUGCCUGCCUGCUUUUAAAAACUUUACUGUGAGCCAUUGGGGUGUUUGGGUCUAAGCAUUAGCUGCCUGAUUCUCCUUGCUUGGAGCCCUGCAAUAAAUGCUCCACCUUCUCUCACUGCAUUCCCAUUGUCAGCAUUUGGUUUUGCUAUGCCAGGUAGGCAGACCCAAGUUUGAUUCAGUAACACAGCGGCAAGGUUCAGAGAUGUACUUUGGUUAAAGAAUAGACUGAGAUGGAUAUCCAGGCCUAUAUGUCUCAACAAGUUAGACACAAAGACACACACCUCCAUUUGUUACAUAACCUGUUUGUGUAAGUUCAUACUUGUCUCUGAACCACUAUUGUGUGUAAAAGGUAUAAUUGCCCUAUUGUCACUGUGCACGGGGCUCAACAUGACUCUUUGGUACAGACACUAGUGUCCAGAGAAAGAAAGAAAGCCAAAACUGUCCAUCUUACAGAUGGACAGAGGUGAACCACAACACAACUCACACUAGUGCCCUGAGAGAGAAAGAGUUAAACUACUGAUCCUGAAGACAAGGGAGAGCUGGCAGUGCAGCUACAGGCGUGGCGGUGGCCGGUGCCGCAGAGUCGGAGCAAACAGCCGAGAUAAAGAUCGACAGUGUGAAAGAACUAAUGGGAGUAAACUACUAAUGAGAAAAC